AGUUCCCGACUUGGAAUUUACGAGUUGGAUGAAUAAUUUUCCGUAUUUUACCAGUCAGAGCAAAAAAAAAAAAUCUCAGUUGUCUUGAACUCAAAGAAGUCUGAGAUUUCCCAGUUCGAGUUUCCAGUUGUUGUGAAUGCGGCAGAAGUCAUGCUGGAUUGACAGAAUGGCCAAUGUAAUCACACUUUACCAAUUGGAUAUCAUGAAAUUGGGGAGCAAAAGGGGGUAAAAAAAAAAGAAUAAUUUAAAAGGAUAAACAGUUACACGCCAUGGGCCAGAAAUGACUAUCUUGUCUCAAUGCUUCAACUCCCCUAUGGACUCGGUGAAGGUCGAGAGCCAAGCCGCACUGUUUCUUGACACUGCUCGCUUUAACCUGGAAGCCAGCCGCACCAAGGAAGGAAACAGCGUUGAAGUCUAUGGCAGCACCCAAGGGACUUGAACUUUUGAUCUCUACCCGUAGACUUUACGGUGACGUAGUGUCCCCAUGAGCGACAGAACAUGGAGCCAAUCACGGUGCAACUAGAGAACAUUACCAACCCCUACGCUCCGUAUUUUCUGCUGGCUGCCUCACCACCACAGAAAAAAACUGAGCUAGGCUGAAACACCUGCAUUUUUGAUGCAGCUUUAUUAACUCAAUGAUUUAGUUUUACAUUGUUUGCAAACUGAUAUGUAACAUGUAUUAAUGCCAGAAAAACAUGCAAAGCGGGCACUUUUUUAUAAUUAUAUAUAUAUAAAAAUGUCUAUGCCAAACAGGUGGGUCCCAAAACAGAAGCUCAAUCAUGUAUUGAUAAACAAAAUAUUGAACAGCAAUUUGUCUUUUGCAUAGAACUGUGGGCUGAAGAGAUUGGGGUACCUUGUGAGGAUCCAGCGACGAGUGGCUAAUCUGCCUUUGUACGCUGGCCAAUAGUACCGAUGGCAAUCACUGGAUAAUAAAGCGGAUGAACUAAAAGCACGUAUAUCCUACCAACGGGACAUUAAAAACUGUAUGACAACAUGAAUAACAUACAGCUGGUGGGUUAUACACUGUAUCGGCAGGAUGGAACAGCAGCCUCUGGUAAUACAAGGGGUGUCAGUCUAUGUAUAUUUGGAAACAACAGCUGGUGCACGAUAUCUCUAGGUUUUUCUCGCAUGACGUAGAGUAUCUCAUGAUGAGCUGUAGACCACACUAUCUACCUCAAGAGUUUUCAUCUGUUGUUUGGCACUGUCUAUUUACCACCACAAACCGAUGCUGGCACUAAGACCACACUCAAUGAGCUGUAUACGGCCAUAAGCAAACAAUUUAAUGCAGGGUAAUGUAAAUCCUUUUUAAUCAAAUUUCAACCAGCAUGUUAAACGUGCAGCCAGAGGGGAAAAAACUCUAGACCACCUUUACUCCACACACAGAGUGUCACGCAUACUCCCCCUCUGGUCUCUUGGUCAUCAGGCUGCAGAUUAUCAGGCACACCUGCCACCAUCGUCUCGCUCACCAGGGCCUCAUGACACUCACCUGGACUCCAUCACCUCCUUGAUUAUCUUCCCUGUAUCUGUCACUCCCCUUGGUUCCUUCCCCAGGCCAUUGUUUCUGUUUCAUGUCUGUGUGCUGUUAGUGUUUCUUGUUUUGUAUUAUGUUCCGUUUAUUUUAUUAAAACACUCACUCCCUGAACUUGCUUCCCAACUCUUGGCACACUUGUUACAGAAUAACACCUCACCUAAGGGAAGCAUCAGGGAGUGUUUUUGUUGUUGUUUUUCGUGUCAGAGUAAAUGACGUCGGAUCCGGGAACUGCUACAGACUCUCAUGCCUCAACCAGAUCAGAUCGCCAGGCUCCCCUGCCUCAGGAGGCUCGUUGGGCUUUCAUGCCUCAGCCGGAUUGCCAGGCUCCCCUGCCUCAGGAGGCUCGUCAGGCUUUCAUGCCUCCGCCGGAUCGGCAGGCUCCCGCGCCUCAGCUGGCGUGACAGGUUCCCGUGCAUCAGCUGGCGUGACCGGUUCGCUCCUGAUCCCCGGGUUCAUCCCCUUUGAUGGCAUCCUGCACCGCGCACCGAGGAGAGAUCUCCUCAAUUUAAGGUAUACAGACGAGGAGGCAUACAAAGGUAUGUUAAUUGGUAUGUUAUGCAGAUCACGUGUGACAUCCUCCCUUACCUCUUCAAUGAAAAUCACAUAGGCCUCUACAUUAUGGACAAGAUUCACAGGUUUCACCCUCCCUACACAUCUGAUGAAUAUACCAGGAAACCUGUUCGAUCACCCUGCACUGCAAAAUCAUUCUGGCUAUGGAUACGGAGAACAUCAACACAUUAACAUCAUUACGCCAGAAGAUAUACCCAUUGGACUUAGGGCUCUGCUGAGAGUUUACCUCAUAUUUGGAUAUGUUAUUCUGCUUUGCCAUUAAAAUCAUAAUAAACACUGACAACUAAAA